rnacentral:piRNA from 2 species
UACUAACUGGACAACAGGGAAGGUGCUGGC